GACGAACGCUGGCGGCGUGCCUAAUACAUGCAAGUCGAACGAGUGGCGGACGGGUGAGUAAUGUCUGGGAAACUGCCUGAUGGAGGGGGAUAACUACUGGAAACGGUAGCUAAUACCGCAUACCAUCAGAUGUGCCCAGAUGGGAUUAGCUUGUGGGUGGGGUAACGGCUCACCAAGGCGACGAUCCCUAGCUGGUCUGUGAGGAUGACCGGCCGUCAUGGAACGUGGACACGGUCCGAACUCCUACGGGAGGCAGCAGUGGGGAAUAUUGCACAAUGGGCGCAAGCCGGAUGCAGCCAUGCCGCGUGUAUGAAGAAGGCCUUCGGGUUGUAAAGUACUUUCAGCGGGGAGGCGUUACCCGCAGAAGAAGCACCGGCUAACUCCGUGCCAGCAGCCGCGGUAAUAC
rnacentral:rRNA from 1 species